CAACAUUUUUCGAAUUUCUAGAUUAACCGUUCACGAGCACAGAAGUGGCUUCUUUUUAUGGUUAAUCAAGUGACUAAAUUAAUUGUACUUAAUUUUACCACCACGUAUAUGUGAGGCUAAAAGCAUUUUGUACUUAAUUUUAAAAUUAGCAAUGUGCUUUGGAUGUUUUUUCGGCGAAUUUGGUUAUUAUACGACAAUGCGGCAUUUAACAUUAUAUGGUAAGUAACCUAUCAACAUUCUAAACUAUAGACGCCUGUGGCCAUCUCUACCGGAUAAUCAGGAGUGUUUCUCAUAUCUACCUAUCAUGAAUACCUCUUCCGAUUACAUGCGUGGAUACAGGACUUCGUUUAGGAAGACCGGGGGGAAGCAAUUUUUUUGUGAUCUUUCAGAAAAUUCGGUCGUCUAGUAGGCUAGAAUUAAAAGCAGUAGUGACUUAGAUAAAAGCUUCAAACAGUACGUACAGUGUUUGAUUAGAUAAAGAGUGCGCGUGGUGAAAUGAACACUCUUAUAAGGACUUGGAUAGAAAAUAGAGCUCGAAUGAUAAAAAUUAAUAAUUAAUAUCAUGACGACCUAACUAUAAAUUGUGUCUUCUAGCGGGAGUCAAUUUUUGGUCCUUUUUAUUACUCAAUUUUAGUUUGCUUAUUUAAUGAAGCUGGACUUAUCGGUCGUCAUUUUAUCUUCGCAUACAUACUGCUUUUCUAUAUUCGGGUUUUGAUGUAAACUUAUUAAAUGGAAUAAUUAGCAGCGAUUUGAUAAGGUACUCAUAAUGGUCAACAUACAACGAAUUAUAGCUCAAUACGAAGAAAACUAUAUACACACGUGGAUGCCAAUAAGAAAAGGGUGGAUAGAAUGAUGGAAUGCAUAUCGAAAAGAAAAAUGAGUUUGCUGCUGUUUAUCAUAAAGGAAUGGUUAUGGAAUUUGCACCUUGUACAUGGAUGUAAUACUUGAGGAAGGUUGAGUUCCAUCAGGUCCGAAUAUCGAAUUCAUACACGACAAAAUGUACCAGCAACCUGACGUAACGACAGAACGUACCAUAUAAAAAAAACGACUGACUGCCUGUGAAGAGUCUGCUAAUUGCUUGAAGAUAUUUUGGAUCCUGCGAAACGUAGCACUUUUAUUCACCGAUAUUUAUUUUUUUAUUAAGUAAUUAUUUAAGCAGGCUGAGUCCUAUAGUUUAUUCAGGCGUUGGAUUGGCAGAAUGGCCAUUUUGGUGUGCUCAAAAUCGUCAAAUGAUGGUCUCAAAUGUCAGAAUGAGAAUGCCACUGAUCAUGAGGAGACAAUAAUUUAACAGGCAUCCCCUCUCCAUUUCUUUAUCAUGUAUAUAUCAAUAUUAUGGUAACUAAGGGCCAUUUCCAGGUAAACGUGGUACCAAUCUUACAUACAAAAUUAUGAAGAUGAGGGAAGGUGGGAAGCGUCUUGAUAUAGAAAAACGAAAAUAUAACAAAAUGCAUAAUAGGUUUGGUAAGAGGAAAGACGAAAUACAAAAGGAAGCAGGAGAAACUAAUGAUAGAGACGUAGACAGAGAGUAAAACUGCAUUAAAACGUGUAUCGAUUUUGAUGCUAGAGAUCUUAAAAAAGAACGAAGGUAGGAGCCCUGGAUAGAAAGCGAGGUUGUAGGAUUAUUAAUAACAAGAUUAAAAAAGUUACAAGGCAAAUAAGUAGGAAAUAAUUUGGAAGUGUAGAAUUGGGGGGCAAUUGAGGAAAAGUGGAUUCAUAUGAGGUGUAAAGAAGUAAAACGAAUGUUUGCAGCAGGUAAAAUAGAUGAGGUUUAUAAAUAAUUAAAAGAAAUUUCAGAAGAAAAGGUACAGCAGUUGCAAUUUAAGAAACGAGGCAGGUCAAGAGUUAGGAGAUGUAUUAGAGAAUAACGGUAUGCCAUAAACACGCCAUAAUGAUAGAAGAAGUUGAUUAAGCAUUAAAAAGAUUAAAGAGUAAUAAGACUGCUUUAGGACUGAUGACUCUAUGAUCAUUCCGUAAUCUAGUGUCGAUACCGCUUCACUUUUUACUUAUAGGUACCUCGGUUGUAACAUUAAAUUAUUAUUAAAGAUAUUUUAAAUG
rnacentral:lncRNA from 1 species